rnacentral:lncRNA from 1 species
AAAUGUGACACCUUGCCCCACCUCCCCCACCUCUAUGUCAUCACAGAAACACCAGGCCUGCUUGGAGCACAGCGUGAACACCACUGACUUAGUCCAAGCCCCUUCCUGUACAGAUGAGAAGAUGGUUGAUCUUUCCUGAGGAGGAAUUCUGCUACCAACUGUGAAGUGUUGGAGGCAUGGGGCAGAAGUCAACCCCAAGGCAAUGAUUUCAUCGUGCCCCAGCAUCAAAUACCACUUUGAGUUAUCCUCCCUGGGCAAUUGGAAAAGGAACGUGUAAGGAGGGAAAUAUAAUCAGAUCCUUCAUCUCUGUAUCAAGAUUUCAUUUCCGAAGAGUGAUUUUGGGGUAUUCUUGGGCUGUCCUUCUUGCUGCUCCUAGCACCGUGGAAAGGAACUUCAGAAACGAAUAUAUAACUUGAUCACAAUGCCCAUGAUGUCUCUUCUGGGAGCUGGCUCUUCCAGGACUGACACGAAAGCACUAAAGCCGGAGGGCACGUUUCUCCGUUUUUUGGGAGACAGUCUAUCUCUUCAAAGCAGCUGGCCCUGAACAGGUUGGAUGAUGCCCACCUGCAUUGUCAGCUCUGUCUCUGCUUCCAUUUUUCCUUCACUCUGCCAUCUAUGCUAAUGGAACAGCCUCUGUCUGGAUCACGGUUUGUCUCAAGUGGGAGGAAAACUGACGUGGUAAUCCACAAACUACCUCUUAAAAGUUCUAGGUGAAAGUGACCACAUUUUGUCGUUGAAAAGAAGACACACGGCCAGGCUGAUGCCAAUGAACACAGGAAUAUAUUAUGCUGCUGCUAGGAAGGGAAGCUAACAGUCGUUAAUAUUAAAAUCUACCAUAACCUUCUUCAAAAGGUCAUUACAAAAUGGGAAAUUGGUUCUAAGUUUCAAGAGACAACAUUUUGAUUUCUGCUUCCAG